GGGCGGCCAUCACGAUCGAUUGGUCUAAGUUUCGGACCUCCAGCGUGGUGAUGUUAAAGUGGUUGAUGUAAGCUCGGAUGGAUUCUCCCUCCUUCUACUUGAUGUUGAUAAGGGACUCCGAACCUCUCCGGAGAUGCCGGUUGCUAAUAAAAUAAGCCGCAAAUUGGUGGCUCAUCUAAUCAAAGGAGAAGAUAGUAUCUGGCUUC
rnacentral:lncRNA from 1 species